GAUGGUAGGAUAGAGGCCUACCAUGGUGGUAACGGGUAACGGGGUGUUAGGGCACGACACCGGAGAGGGAGCCUGAGAAACGGCUACCACAUCCAAGGAUGGCAGCAGGCGCGCAAAUUACCCAAUCCCGACACGGGGAGGUAGUGACAAUAAAUAACAAUACGGGGUUCUUUAGGAUCUCGUAAUUGGAAUGAGUACAAUUUAAAUCUCUUAACGAGGAACAAUUGGAGGGCAAGUCUGGUGCCAGCAGCCGCGGUAAUUCCAGCUCCAAUAGCGUAUAUUAAAGUUGUUGCAGUUAAAAAGCUCGUAGUUGAAUUUCGGGGUUAGUAGGUUGGUCAUGCCUCUGGUAUGUACUGGUCUCACUGAUUCCUCCUUCCUUAUGAACCGUAAUGCCAUUAAUUUGGUGUUGCGGGGAAUUUGGACUGUUACUUUGAAAAAAUUAGAGUGUUUAAAGCAAGCUAACGCUUGAAUACAUUAGCAUGGAAUAAUGAAAUAGGACGUUCGAUCUUAUUUUGUUGGUUUCUAGGAUUGACGUAAUGAUUAAUAGGGAUAGUUGGGGGCAUUAGUAUUCAAUUGUCAGAGGUGAAAUUCUUGGAUUUAUUGAAGACUAACUACUGCGAAAGCAUUUGCCAAGGAUGUUUUCAUUAAUCAAGAACGAAAGUUAGGGGAUCGAAGACGAUCAGAUACCGUCGUAGUCUUAACCAUAAACUAUGCCGACUAGGGAUCGGAU
rnacentral:rRNA from 1 species